CUUCCGCCCCCUUUCCUCCGCCGUCCAAUCAGAUCGGGCGAGGGGCGCGGAGCCCCGGCAACGCGCUGGCGGCGGCCCUCACGGUUCAAGCACUCUCCCCGCGACUUCGCGAAGCUUUCGUUAUGCUGCGAGUAACGUGGUGGCCAGGAUCUUCAUUCUGCUUUAAGUGCUCCAGGCGCCCUCUAAGAGGCAGAGAAGACUGCAUAGUCCCUGGAAACCUUCCAGUUUCACUUGCAGAAUUCAGCCUCACUCAUAGUUCUCUGGGCACUGUCACUGCCUGUCACUGAAGAGCAGAUACUGCUUUGUUGCCAGUAAGUAAACUUGAUGCAACAGUAUUACAUAUUGCAU
rnacentral:lncRNA from 1 species